GCAGGUGCCGGUCAUCCGUGCUGCAGUGAUUUGGGGGGUGGGGAGCUGGCUUUGCCCUGGAGUCUUGGAGGAAGAAGCUGAAUAUUGAGGAGGGGGGCGCGUAUACUUCCGAAGGCUCAGGGGAGGGGACUGGCAGCUCUUUCUGUCCACGGGGGAUGGACCGAGAUGCAGCAAGUUGAAUUUGAGUGAGACUUGGCAAAGAAUCUCUGGGUUGUGGAGGGCCCCUGUUAAUUGGUCCACAGGGCCGUGGUGUAACCUCUGCCGUGAGCCCAGGACUUGGGGGCAGGACCCGGGGCAGGCUCAUGUCGGGGCUGGAUGGGUUUGAGACCCUAGGACAGGCUGUCACAUUCUUGGUGGCUGGCGGUCACUGGGCCGUGGGGAGGCAGGCUUCUGCUCAGGAGGGGAUUGUGACUGCCCUGCUGGUACCCCCGGGGCAGGGGGUGAGGAGGGGUUUUCUGCACAGGAGGGUCUUCCUCUUCUUCCUUCCCAGGUAGGGAGGGUUGUGGCCAGAUGCAAAGGGAGCAUGAGAACGCCUCAUCUCUGCAUGCUAAUAUUUUCAGGGCUGCCUGGAGGGGGUCCCAGGCCAGGGAGCCCCGUGAUUCCUAUUCACAGCUCCGUUCGGGGGUGUUCUGCUUGGCUACCAUCCUCGGAGGGUCCAGACCCGGACUUGUGCUCACGGGGAGCUCACAGGGGAGGCGGUGCCAGUCCCGUGGGACGCUGUUACUGCCCCCGCAGGGAGGGUCUUGGCCCCAUGGGCUGUGUUAAGGUGCCGGCUGGGUUGUAAGCCCAGUGGAAGCUGGGUCCAGUUCUGAUCCCGGGACUCGGAGCUCAGUAAACGUUCAGUAAGUGUCCUUUGGGUUGAACAGGCAGAACAUUCUGGGAUUUUGAUAUACCUUUUAAAAAUGAUUUUUAAUGGUGGUAAAGUACACAUAACAACACUGACUGGUGUAGCCAUUUUUAAGUGUACAAGGCAUGGGCGUUAAAAACAUGAUGUUGCCGUGCAGCUGUCACCGUGAUCCAUCUCCACGACUUUUUCAUCUUCACCACCUGGAACUCUGUCCCCAUAACGUACUAACUCCCCCUCCCCCCAUCCCCUGGCACCCACCAUCCUACUUUUUGUCUCUACACAUUUAACUACUCUGGGUACCUCAUGCAGGUGGAAUCCUAAAUAUUUGCCCUUGUGUGUCUGGUUUGUUUCUCUUUGCACAUCUUCAGGGUUCAUCCAUGUUGUGGCAGGUGUCAGAAUUUCCUUCCUUUUUAAGGCUCAGUAAUAUUCCAUUAUGUGUAGAGCUCACUUUGCUUAUCCAUCCAUUGUUGAUGGGUACCUGGGGUCCUCCUGCUGCUUGGCUCUUGUCAGUGAAGCUGCUGUGAACGUUGGGUGUGCAAGUAUCUCGACUCCUUGCUUUGAAUUCUUUCAGGUUUUCCUUUUUGAAUGAGAGUUUUCCUGUGGUCCGUGGACUUGGGGGCUUGGGAUGGGGUGGGGUAGGGGUGGUGGUGGAGCAGCUGCGUUCUGCCCAAGUGCACAUCUGACCGAGCAGGUCUGGUGGGCCGAGGGGCUGACUGAAUUUCCUGUGACACUGGGCCACACUGUGGGCAGCAGGGGCCAAGAGGUCCCUUCCAGCCCUGGUGUGUGAAUCUGCAUCUCCCCAGACGUGACCCUGCAGAGCCACGCCACCCCCCAGGUGCACUGGUGCCAAUGUCGGGACGCAUGGCUGGUGUUUGGGGAGCGGCCAGGAGGCUGUUUCCUCACGAUCUUCUGCUGGUCCAGGGCCUUUGCUGCCGGAUACGGCCCCGUCACAGGGGUGAGGUGUUCGCGCUCAGCUGAGUCAGACAGCAUGUGGCUGGGGAGACGGUUGUCACCGUCCAGAUCUUGAUGACAGUUGGCACUGCAUGCCCGAGGAGGUGGUCCUGCUCUGGGGGACAGGCAGGGGGUGUCUGCUCAGGGUGGCACCGCCCGGGGUUGUCAGGGCGGGCGGGGCGGGGCGCAGCCUUGGGCACGUCUAAGAACAUCUUCCUCCAGCGGCAGCCGCUGGUCAGGUCGGACCGUGGGGACUGGUCAGGUCAGCUCUGCCUCGGGAGCGGGAUGUGAACAGCGGCCGUGGAACCAAGUGGGCGGGGCUGUGGGAGAGCCCCCGGGAGCCCGGGCCUCAGCAGCUGAGUUUUGGAGAGGGUGGGAUUUAACCAGGGAAAGACAGGGGAGGGAAGAGCAUUCCCAGCUGAGGCCGCAGUCCAGAGGUGUUGGGGAGCCUGGUUUUGGGCCUGUGCGGUUUUUCCAGGGAAAAGCAUUUCAGUGUCUGAGCUGGGCGUCAGCACCGUGGACCCGCAGCCCCUCUGUGCAGAUGGAAGUCCAGCUCUUCGUGGAGAGGUCCACGGGCCGGGGGGGAGGGGUGUGCUGCCUUCCCACCCCUGGAGCACGAACUGGGGGUCGGCGUAUGUGGCAGUCAUGGGUGUGCACAUGUGUGAACUCACAAGUGUGCUGAGCCCGCCUCCUGUAGGUCCUAUUGGCUGGAUGGGGAGGGGGCUCUCUGAGACCAGGGCUCACAGGUUGAGAACCUUUGGGUGCAUUUGAACCAGGCGGGGGCGUUGGACAGAUACUGCAAAGAGGAAGGAUGCUCGGGUUUGGAGGAGGUGGGGGCUUGGAUGACUCUGGGAGGAUUCUCUUCAUUUAAAACAGAAGUCACUGUGGGGUGAGCCUGGAAGUAAUGCGGGGUGAGAAGGAGGCUGGGGGGGGAGUAAGGCCCUCUGUGGGCUGGGAAAUUCGGCCUUCACCUGCUCGCUUGCACAUCCAGUCCUGAGGUCCUGGGCAAGUCCAGGGUCUUCCCGAUGGAGGGGUGUUCCCUGCAUCUAUUGCAGUGGCUUCUGCAGAGCCCCGGGUCUUAGCUCCCCCCCAUCAGCCCCUGUUCUGAGGCUCCAUCCGCUUCUCCCUCCCUCCCCCUCCUCUGGUCUCGGCCUAUCCAGCCCCUCCAGGCACAGAUCCGGUUGUCCCUCGGCCUCAUUUCCUGUCCAUCUUUCCUGCAGACCUGGCACUCCCAUCCCCUUCCGCCCUUCCAUGGCGGGGCUGGGUUGGGAGCUCCCAGGAGCCCCCCCAGCCUACAGGGCCUGCUCUGACUGCCCUCCAUGGGCUCACUAUCCCUUACCCCUGAGGGCCAGCUGGCGCUGCGGGGUCAAAGGAUCAGGGAGGUAGGGAGCUCUGUGCCCUCUGAUCAGACUCAGCCCUUUGCCUCUACCUCCAGGAAGCCCUCCAGACUGUGACCAUGGGCACAGGACAGGGUGUCCUGGGACCUCAGCUAAGUUGUUCCUAGAUUGACCUCCCUAAAGCACAGCACUGAUGAAAUCCAUGCUCACUAUGAGCUUUCACUGCUCACCCGCCGGGGCCCCCGCCCUCCACGGUAGAUUCACCCUCUUGUCCAGCUCAUACCUCCCUGCUCCCCAGCCCCUCCUGCUCUGGUCCUUUCGUGGUUUCCCACUGGCCACCUUUCCUCACAGCGGUUCUGCACUGAUCUCCUGAUCCCCAGCCCCGCUCCUCUUCACAUCACUGCUUUUCAAACUCCUAUGCAUCCUUCAAAGUCCUGCUCAAAUGGCACCUCUCCCACUAACUGGAAGUAGCCUCACUUCCUCUGAUUCCCGUGCCUUUUUGCAUCUUUCUCAUGUAUAAUGUCGUGUGUUUGUCUUGGAAUGUAAAUUAUUUGUGUAUGAACCUUCUUUCCUCUGCUAGAUGUUUUUUUUUAAAUGCAAAAACAGUUUUUCGCAGUACUGUUUCUUUAAAAUUUGGAAAAUAUAGACAUUAGAAAGAAACUAUAAUUCACCUGUAAGCCAGCGAUACCCACUCUUAACGUUUGCUAUGUCUUCUUCAGAAUUCCUUCCACGCCCUGAACUGGAUUCCAGGUUACUUGAGGCUGGGGCUGUUGUCUUUUUUUUUCUUUUUGAAAGACUCUCAUGAGAUACCGAGUGACUUGGACAUAACAGGUGCUCAAUAAAACAAUGUUGGAGGAGUGACAUGGGGAUGGCUUUGUGGUGGCUCUUGUAGGCAGAUGCAGGGGCUGCAGGGACCCCAUGGGACUCUCCAGGGAUCAAGCAGAUACUUUUCUGGUCAACCAAGACCCCACAGGUCUGAUCCGCUCACUCUGGCGUUCUGGGUUCUUGGUUUCCAAGGCCCCUGGACCUGGCAGCCUCCAGCCCUGCUCCUCUCUCAGGCUCUUGCCUCCCCUUCCAGGUCCCCCUGCCCCCACCUGGGUGGCUCUGGGUGGGGCUGGGCUGCAGGACCCAGAACCAUGUCUGUGUGGCAGGCUCGUCGCUCUCCCUCCCCCCGGGAGCCACCCCCCUGGUUCCACCGGCCAAGUUUCCCCGAGGCUGCCUUAUAAGGCGGGCGCUGGCCGCUCACUCGUGGGUCUGGUUCUUUGCCGUCUCUGAAUGCUCACUGGAGGCCGUGGGGGAGGCUGGGGUGACCGGGCCAUGUGGCGAGUGUGGUGUCCCCGGACUGGCGCCCAGCUGAGUUCUUGGGUGUGUCCUGGCUCCACCCCACUGGCCGACUGGUUCUGAGCCAUCGCUUCGCGGCCCCCCCAACCUGCCCCCCACUCCCCAGCCUCAGUUUCUUGAUCUGUCAAACGAGGGAGGCGUUGGGCUUGCUGGCCCGAGGCAACAAUGGUGGUAGGGGGUCUGAGCUGUCCAGGUACAGCUGCACCUACCCAGCCCCCAAUAACCAAGACAGGUAUCCAGUCCACGGUGGUGCCUGGAGUCCCUGGUGAUGUGGGCGUGACAUUGGGGUGGGGCAGACGCAGCGAAUGUCUUCCUCCGGUUUCCCUACGGCUAAAAACAUCUAGAGAUAUCUUUGGUCGUGGGUAGAGCCUUGAGGAAGGUGGACGUCAGGCCCCCUUCGCCUCUGGUGGUGAGCGUGGCUUUUUGGCAGACGAGGUGAGCCUGCCGUCUUCCGGGUGUACCUGGGUGCCGGCUGCACAAGGCCUGUGUUAGGGGCUGGGGCAGAACAGGGAAGAUGUCACUUCCACGGGGAAUCAUGGGACGCUACAAGCACAGGGACAUGGGGACAGAGGAGGCUGGGCAGAGAAGGCUUUGGGGAACGUGAGAUCUGAGCUGAGUCUGAAGGGUGGGAAGGGGUCAGCCAGUGAAGAGGGGGGACCGUGACGUGCCCCAGAAGUGUGUGUGGGGAUCAGAGAGCGUGAAGAGGGGGGAGAAGGGGACCGCCAUCUGCUUAGGGAGGAAGGGCCAGCUCUGCAAAGGCUCCCUAGACACCCCCCGUGUUCGCAGGACGACUCACUAACCAGGGUCCGCGCUGGGCCUGUCCCUGGCCUGUGAACUCCCCAGUGCCGGGGUCUGCACCUUGUCCACCCUUUCCUCCCAGCACCUGGCCUAUGGCAGGAGCUUCUUACACGUUGAGGGUCUCGUUUGUGUCUGGCAAAGUGGAGCCGUGAACUUGAAUCUGUGCCUUUGGGCCCUUAGCCCGGAGAGUUUUCUUCUGUGUGGGGCUGCGUGUUUCUAUUCUGGUGGGAAAAAGGCUGUACCUCCUGCAGGGAUGCUCCCACCUGGCUGCCUUCCCGACAGACCCCUCUGCUCUGGGCUCCUCCCCGUUCCGUCGUGACCCCAGAGGGCAUCCAGGCACCCUCUCACCUUUGGGGAUUGGGUCCCUUUCUCAUUCCGCCUUUUAAGAACAGACGCUCUCCUCUGAGAUGACCCUGAGGCCCGUGCACACCUCAGUCUGAAGCAGGAUGUCCCCAUGCAUGGGGGGACAGGAGGAUGUGGUGGAGGGGUGGCCAGGCCCAGGUGUGUCUCCUUCAAGGUGGGGCAGAGUAGGGGGCAGGGAGGACAGAGCGUGGCUCCAGGGCCCGGGAGAAAGCACUCACCGCCCCCGCUGGCCCUCCAGCUGUCUGCCAAGCCCAGCCCAGUGGUGAGGAGGGAGGAAUGCGGGCCCAUCCAGGGAAUGCAGCCGAGCAGCUGCGGAAUGCCUUACAUAGAGCUGGGCACAGCUGCGGGAGCGGGCCGGGCCGGGCAGGGAGGCCGGCGCUGCAGGCGGGUCCCCGCGCUGCCUCCCUGCAGCUUGGGGGCUGCAGCCCUGACCAGGGAUGGAGCCCGGGCCCCAGACACGUGGUGCUGGGUGAGGCCUCCUGGGUGCCUGACCUGGGAAGCCGAGCAGCUGCCUGGAGAGGGGCUGUGUCUGCAGCCGCAGCCUCUCCGCCCAGGACAGCUGCUGGCAGCCAGGGUCGGCACAAUGGGGCUGCUGUCCAGGGGACACGCCUGCGCGGACAGCCACGCUCUGUGGACAGAGGGCACAUUCAGCACCGGAGGAGCGGCUCGGACCCCCGCCUGGCGCCCCAAAGUGUGGGCGGCCCUGCCCAGACCCUGGGUUCCAGCAGGCAGCCUGAAGGAUGAUGCCACGUGGUUCCCACUGGCCUGAUGUGGCUAAAUGUGGACCUGGGGCUGCAUGUCUGAGAGCUGUGGGUGGUGAGGAGGGGACCCUUCUCGGGUCCAGGCAUGACUUCCUUUCCACGUUUUAUCCACUUUGGCUUUCCCUGGCCUGGGCCUUUCUGUGGGUGUCACAGACGCCCCCCUGGAAUCCCAGGGGCUCCCAGAGUUACCAGUUGUAGCGAAUGAGCAAAGGCAGAUCGUGGCCAGGACUGAGCGUCCAGUUCUCUGAGCAGGGAGGCCUCCUGUCCCCUUUCCCAUGCUGUCACUGGGCACACCGCUGUGGAACCCCAGGGCUCUAGGGAACCCGGUUUGGAAAUCCCUGGUCUGUCCAAUGCAGUUCAGAGACCCCAGCGCUGGUCCCAGCAAGGAAUUGGGAAGUGGAAGUGGCCUUGGAGGUCACCUCUUCCAUCUCCCUCCUUCUAAAAUAUAACACACAGAGGGUACAGCUUAGAAGCGCAGAAUGUUCCAGCGGGAAGCCACUCGGGAGGCCUUGCCCACUUGUUCGCGGGGGAAAUGGCCCUCAGACUGCCCUGGCCUGAUGACCUAUGCUCUCUGAGUCCUUCUUCUCAUCAUCGCAAUGGACCUCAUUCCUCCUGCACAGCGUUGUUAGAACGAAAGUGCUAACGUGUGAGGACCGCCAGGGCAGGCCCAGCACCCGGGAGGUUUUGUUAAACAGGCUCAUAAGUGAAAACCAAAUGCAGCCUUAUUUAACGAACGGGCUCAGCUUGGCCAUUGCAUGGUGCCUCUCCCUCCCCGCGCUUGUAGUCCGUGCUCUGGUCUGUAUCCCUGACUCCCUCGGCCCCGUCUGCCCCCAUUGCCUUUUUCUCUUCUAAUUCUCAAAGGCAGUGCGUGACCAUUGGUAGAAGAGAAAACAUCCAGGUCACAUGAAAUGUGAAAAGGAAAUCUGUCUCUCCUGAUCUCCCAGCCUUUCCCCAGGAUAGCCCAUGCGGCUGGUAGGGCGCGCUGUGUGUCCUUCUGGAGUCGGCGUGUGUGUUUUCCCCAUUUAAUGACACUGUGGAUGUAGAUCGGGCACAUUCCUCGUAACAGCUGCGUCCUCGGCCCUGACAUGGUCCUGCCAUUCUUGUCCGGCUUCCUCUGUGAUAAACGAGGCUUCCGUGAACAUCGUCUGGCUUAUAUAUGUGCACAUGUUGGAUAAACCUUUAGGAGUGGAAUUUCUGCACCAGAGGAUGCGUGCGUUUAAGAUUUUGACCCAUGUUGCCAAAUUGGCUUCUAAAACAGCUACAUCAGUUUCUGGUCGUGACAGAGAGAGGUACUGUGUCCCUUGCCCUGGGCGGAGAGGUAGAAAGCUAUCUGAUGGGUGUUUUAUUUUGUGCAUCUCUUAUUAAGUUGCGGGGGUGGGGGGGUAUCUUUUCCUCUGUUUGCAGGCCAAGGGCCCUAGGUUCCCUGUGAACUUCUCAUUCCUGUCCUAGGUUCCUUUUUUCCCCAGUUGGGUCGUUAAUCAUUUUCUUGAAUUUUUUUGUUUGUUUGUUUAAGUGUUCUUGGUACACCUUUGUCGUAGCCGUUACAAGUGCUUUUUCCCAGUUGUUAACUUUUCAUUUUGUGUCUAGUGUGUUCUUUUUUUUUUUUUUUUAAGUGUGUUCUUUUAAACAGAGAUUUUUAACCCUUAGGUUGUCACGUUUAUUCUUUUUCUUUUCUCUUGUGGAGGUUUAUGUCCUGCUUAGAGGCCGCCUGCAUUCCAAAAUCAUAACAAAAGAAUUCACUCAGGUUUUCUUCGGGUACUUUUAUGGUUUCAUUUUUAUGUACUGAAAUCAUUAAUCCAUUGGAAUUUACUUGGGUUUAAACAGCGAGGUAGAGACGCGCAACUCCUGCAUGGCUACGCACGCGUGAGCCUGGUCUACAGCGUGUUGGGCAUGUGUGCGUUGCUAUUUUUAUCAAUUUUGGUGUCAGUGUCGUGCUGGCUUAGCAAAAAUAAUUUGGAUGCGUUUCUUUACCCCCCUCUGUGUUCUGGAACAUUUUUAAGCGGCUACACGAUCAUCUCUGUGUUAAAACGUUUGAAGAAUUCACUAGUGAAACCAUCUGAGCUGGAUAUUUUUGUGGGAGCCUCAUCCUUUAAAAAGUUUUUUCCAUAGGUUUGUUUGAGUUUAGCGUUUGUUUCUUCCUAUUUUACACCUUUUUUUCCUAGAAAAUCAUGCUGUAAGCUAUUUAAAAUCCCUCAGAUCAUUCAGAGGUAGUGGUGUGUAGAGGGGGUGGUGAGGGGCCAGCCCCCCAUGAUUGCCACCAUCAAUCUGUGCACCUGAGUUUCUGCCCUGGGCCUGGCACUGUUCUCAGAGGAGAAUAUGCGUUGGUGGCCGGGACACAGCCCAUGUCCUGGGGACGCUCCCUCCGAAACAUGUGUGCAGUGCGGUGUGACAAGUGUUCUGAGAGGGACGAGUCCAGAAGGCCUUGGCACCCCGAGGAGGGAGCCCCCCCAACCCUGCCAGCAGAGACCUCUUGGAGGUGGGGGGUGGGGGGUAGGGCCCUUGGUCUUGAAGGGGGCAGAGUGGUCCAGGCAGGUGAAGGGCCGUUGGCUUUCUGGAAUCCUGAGUUUGAUGUUGCCCAGAGAGUGGCUUUCAAACUUAUUUUGGACUGCAGCCCCCAGUAAGAAGUACGUUUUGCACCACAAACCAGGACACACGUAUGUGUAGAUGUGUGUGUGUGUGUGUGUGUGGUGUAUAUACAAAUGAAACAGUAUUUCCACGGAGUACUUCUUGCCUUUAUCGCGUGCCUGCUACACCUUCAUACUCGCUGUAUGUGCUGCUUCGGAUGGGGGAGCUUUUCUUAUUUUCUAAAAACAGCUCUAUCGAGAUACAGUUCACAUAAUACCAUUUAGUUCUUCCAUUUAAAGUGUACAAUCCAAUGGUUUUUAGUUAUUUACAGGGUUGUGAAACCGUCGCCACAUCCAAUUUUAGACCGUUUUCAUCACUUCAGAAAGAAUCUCUGUCCCCAUUAACUGUCACCUCCUGUCCCCCACCCCCGUUUCUCCCAGCCCUGAACAAUGACCGUAGAUUUGCCUGUUGUGAACCUUCCUUAGAGAUGGGAUCGUACAGUGUGUGGUCUUUUGUGAUUGGCUUCCUUCCCUUUGCAUCGUGUUGCAAGGUUCCUGCGUGUUGUAGCCAGGAUCAGGGCUGCAUCCCUUUUCCUAGCUGAGUAAUAUUCCAUUUGUGGACUGGGCACAUCCUGUUUAUCCAUUCAUCAGCUGAGGGACAUUUGGGUUGUUUCUACCUUCUUCUUCUAGUUCUUCUAGUAUGAAUGUAUUCUUUUUAAAUGUUAAAAAAUAAUGCUGGUUAUGACCUGCUAACUAGUCUUCAGGACCCAUUAAAGCGUCAGGACCCACAGUUUGGGACACACUGGCCUAGGCGGUGGGCUGAAGGCGGGCCGGGCCAGAGGUGGGCUGGAUGCUGUGUUACGGGCCCCAUCCACCAGAGGUGUUUCACCAGGGCCUGAUCAGAUUUCCUAGAGAUUAUCAUGCCUGGAGCGUUUGUUUAUUCAGGAAGGGUUGAGCGUUGACAUGUACCAGGCACUGUUCGCGGCGCUGAGGAGUUCAUCCGCGCUGAACAUACAGAGACAAAUCCUGUCCUCCUGGGGCUUAUGUGCUGAUGGGAAGAGGCAGAGGGUAAAGAAAGCAAACAGUAAAACGUAAAGCCCGUUAGCCGUGGUGAGGGCUGAAGAGGAAAGUGAAGCAGGCGAGGCAGCUUGGGAGGUUGUGACCCUAACCAGGGUGGUCCUGGGUUCAAGGUCGAGCUUGGGUGUGGACCCCUGGAGGUCGGUGGGUGAAAGCAAGAAGAACACGCCCGAGAUUAGGGCAAGUGAGGCACUCCUCGGUGGGCACAAAAUUUAGCGGAGGGGUGGGGGAGCGCCAGAAAACUCAGGAGUCAAGAGAAGUAGUAUUUUUAUGCAAUGCUUUCAAAAAUCAGAAUUGCGCCCCCCAAAUCCUUGAUGAACAAAUAGGCACAUUUUCAAGAAAGAUGGGCCAGGCACGUGCACAGCCCCGCUGCACUCUCCUCGCCCGAAUCCCGCCCUGUUGGAUUGGAAAAAAUCAUUACGGAUUUUCUGCAAAAGUUUGAUUUUCAAAAAAUAUUGCAUUGACAUAUUAUGUAUCUUGAUUCCCGAGGUAUUUGGCGGUCCCUUUGAAAUUUGCACUCCCUGGUCUCCGCCCCAAGAGCGCUGAGGUUUGAGGGGCUGAGGACUUUGAACUUGCAGAGUGCCGCACCUGCCAGGGAUGGCAGUGGGGAGGGUGGGGCAGGGUGGGGAGUGCCUGGGGGCAGGAAGGCGCUGCAGCGUCCUCCUCUAGAAAGCUCGGUGGGGUGGGGAUGGGGGGAGCUGUACAACCACCCUUCCGGCCUGUCAUUUUGCUGUUGGACGUCUGUGCCGAGGCACUGUCCCCCUAAAUGGAGUGUGACGGGAGGGGAGGGUCCCUUGCACACCCAGAGAUCCAGUGGGAGGAAGAGGCGUAAUAAAGGGGGUCCAGAACUCGGGCCUGGGCUGGGCCUUCUGCUGACGGUGGGGAGGCAGCCCUGCCCACUCGGACCUGCUGCCCGGCUGGCCUCCAAGGCCCCGAGGAUGCAGCAGGGCCUCCUUUCCUGUCUAUCCCAGUGAGGUCUCCAGGUGCUCCACCCAAAGCGCUCUCCUUCUGGGGGCUCCCUGAGCUGGCCAAACAGCAUAUUCGGUUCCAGGCAGCCUCAGCUCGGCCAGGCCCUGGCGGGAGCACAGCCCUGACCAUCAUCUGAGACCUGUACGUCCUGUUUCCCGUGCAGGGCCGUGGGACCGGCUGCGGGGGGCGUGUCUGGUCUGAGAUGAGGCCCUUGUGGCCCGGGAGGAGCUGGAACUUUAUAACCGUGGCGGCCACAGCUUGGAGGUGGGGAGGGCUGGCUGUCAAUUCCCAGGGAGCGGCCCGCCCCUCCCUUCCUCUGAGCCCCCCAGUCGCCUGGUCCCUGGAACGAGAAGGCCGGCCUGACAGCCCGUUCUCCUAAGUCACUGUCUCCAGGCCCACUUCCUCUCAUCUGUAGUCACCCAGACUUCACGCCUUGCCUUACCUCUGACAGGGCAGAAACGGGAGAUCUUGGGGGACCCCCGAAGGGUGUGAGGAGACUGCUGUGUGAACAGAGGGGCUCUGUCCCUCCCCGGGGCGGGUCGCCCUUGCAGACGCAGCCUCCUGCCCUGGCAGAACUUGCUGUGUCCACUCCCUCCUCUGCACGGGGAUAGGGAGCCCAGCUGGGGGGUGGGUAACACCCACGGUCACCGUUGUCACUGGUGACCCCAGGGCAUGCCUGAGUCAUGAUGUGACCCCUGCCCGUUCCCCUGGCAGUCGGGUCCACUUCUUUGCACAGGGCAGUAGCCCAGCCCAGGAGGGGGGGCUCUAUUUUCACCCCUGGGAUCAUGCCCCCUCUCCUUAGGGCUGGUCUAAGGCAGGCCUUCCUGAGGUCUGUGGCUCCCUGCCUGUUUACCUGCUGACUAAUGCCUGUCUGGUGCCUGAUGGGAAGAGCUGGCUUGGUGAGGCGUCCAGGGCUCAGGUUACAGAGGGUUGGGGCACCUCCUGAAACAAGGCCCUGCAGUGUGGCCUCCACCGCCCGCCUGGGUUUCAGGCACCUCUGUCCCCAGCCCCCACCAGGUGAGUUCGUCCUGGGGCUCCCAGGCCGUGGCGGGGGGCUGUGGUUUUCCAGUGGGGGUCAGGGCUGGGGAGGCUGCGAUGGAAGAGGCCGAGCGGGGAGGCGCAGCCCCACUUCUUCCUGUGGCAGCGGGGGGCCUGGCCACUCCUGUGUCUCUCAGGAGGGUGACAGGCGGCUGGGCAGAGGCUGUGGGGCAGCUGUAGGGACCAGCUGGUGCAGGAACGGUGGGCGGACCUUGAAUCCCAGUCCCAGCUUUUCGGGAGUGGGCUGGUUUAGUCAGCGGCUCUGUCAGUGGACUUUCUGUUCAGGCGAGAGCGCCUAGGUCAGUGAGUCGGAGCUGAAUUUCUUGAUAUUUAAUUUAGUAGCAGGUUUGCCUCCCCCCCCCCCACCAAGCCCUUGCUUAUUACCCUGUGCUCGUUCGGGGCAGGUACUUGCGCUCUGCUCUCCGUGGGUGGCGUGGGCCUCCCGGCCUUGGUGCCUGCCCCCGUGAUGCCUGGGCAGCCCCACCUGGGCCUUCAAGCCAGUGAGACUUCUGGCUCCGGUGGUGGGUGGCUCUGUUUGGACCGAGAAGGUCCGGGACCGUUCAGCCUCGUAUCCAGAUGAGGCUUGGGGGGGAGGGGAGUGUUCUGAGCCGCCUUCCCGCUGCGUGGUUGGUGCGGCCUUGGUGGGGGCCUCCCUGUUGGCUGUUCCCUUCUCCUGCACGCUUCACUCCUCCCUUGGAGUUCCCCUUCCCUGGCCCCUGCGCGGGCCAGCUGGCACAAGCACUUUGCGGAUGGAACUUUGAAACUGGAAGACUUUCCAGGUCCAUCCAGGUCCAGAUCCCUGUGGCAACAAUGAGGGAAAUCCUUAUCUCAGCCGGAGAAGGAGGCCGAGUGGUUGAUAAUAACCACCAGCAGGAUAAGGUUAGCUUUCAGGCGCCCUAAUUACCCCAUUUUCCAGAUUAGGAAAUCAAGGCACAGGGAGCUCCAGCCACUUGCCUAAGGCCCCCAGUGGUUAAUAGUCUGAAUUUGAACCCUGGGGGAUGGAGCUGUCUGCCGGCGCUGGGGACCAGAGCUGAGGCAUGAAGCUGGGUCCCUGCCCCGAAGCUUGGGCUGGGGUGCGGAGCCGCCUGGACUGGCUCCCUCCUCUGGCCUCUUUCUUUCAGAAAGUACCAUGAGAUGAUGAAAUGAAAGAAAAGAAAACUCCAGUUAGAAAGGAGGGACUCUGGUACUCCCCCCCCUCCUCCAGCCCCUCAGCUGCCCUGGACUUUGGAGCAAGAUGCUGUUUGUCCGGGCCCGGGGACCGGCUUGAGCGUGGGCGCUUCUGGGCUCUGUCGAUGCCCCACAUCCUCUUCCGCGGCAACAGCAGACCCUGGGAGCCUGCUCUGGAGGGCUUGGCCGUGGGGUGCACUGCCCAGGCGGAGCCGGGCUUUCUCACCCGGGAAGUCGGUGUACCAUCCCAGGCAGCCUCAUUUCGUGGCGAGAGAGAGAGGGACAGUGACUUUUUUGGAGACAGGAGCUGGUCCAGGUAAGAAGCUGCCCUCCCAGUGCCCCCCGCGCCACUCCCUCCCCCGGUGGUACCACCGUCCCCCCAGCUGUGGUCUCACAGGGCACUCCACCUCCAGCUUCCUCUCUGAGCCUCGGCUGGUCAGUAGGGGGCAGUGGAGGCCUCAAGUCCUCCUAGAGGACUGGGCAUAGUGGAGUUUUUACAGAUCUGUCCCUGCAAAGUCUCUCGCAUCACACCCACAGUGUCUUCCCUCCCUGCUAACAUUUCUCCCGGGGUUGUCAUGCCGGGUGGAGUGUGGGGGGGCGCCCACCAGGCUGUGGGCAAAGCAGAGCUGUGUUGACACAAACUCCGGUUGAACCCAUAUCCUCCCUGCAACCCAGCGGAAGUAACCUCAUGGCAGGGCCGGCAGAGCCAGGACCCAGCUCUGCACAUGGAGGAGGGUCCAGGCCCCUCGGAGCCCCCCGGGGAAGACCCAGCCCAGUGCCUGGCUGACAGAUCCUUAGAAUGUUCCAUCCACUUGUCUAGGUGAUACAGUGGGCAGGUGUUAGCACUUCUGAGAAGCUAAGAAGCAUCUGUCUUCCUGGUUGAAAAACAAUUUUGUUGCGAUUUUAAAAAUUAUGCCUCCUUACGACAAAAAUAAAUUACUUAGAAAGCCAUAAAUAAGACAAUCGGUUAUAACUGCAUUCUACAGAAAUAAGCACUGUUCACGUUUUGGGGUUUUCUUCCAGUCUUUUCUCUACACAUAUACUUAAUACAAAUGAUUUUUUUUUUUUUUUUUUAAAGAACAAAAGUGGGAUCUGACACUUCUCCCUGCCACUGACAAGACUGCCCCUCACUGGGAGAUUUUCCUCACUCUUGGCCCAAGCCUUGCCUCGUAAAGGGAUGGGGAUAAAUUGCCCUAGGACGGUAUGGGCAGUUGAAGAACCAUCUCGUGGCUGGUGGGACUUGGAAACAGGCUGAGGAGUUUUGGCAGAGGGUGGACCCCAGCCCAGGGUGGUGGGCAGGGAGGGGAUGCUUAGAUGCUUUCACUUUUUAUUCCAGGGGGUUAUCUGGAAUAAAAUAGGGGUGUGAGUGAGAGUGUGGCCAGUGUCUGGGCCAUGACCUUUCCUGGCAGCAUGACCUUGGCCAACAUACUUUGUUUCCCUCUGUAAAAUGGGCGAAUAGAGACGCCCGCUCAAGAGACGGUGUGAGAAACAGGCUUGCUCAUACACGCAAAGGACUUAGGGCGGGCCUGGCAUCACCGCCGCCAUUGUGGUAAAUGGUACUUUCACUGUG